rfam:Gossypium hirsutum cultivar TM-1 unplaced genomic scaffold scaffold171.1, whole genome shotgun sequence
UAUUAAAAUUUUCAUCCAUUUCUACCGUUAAAAACUGGCUAAUUAGACAGUUACACAUGACAUGCCACUGUACCUUGCGUUGAUGUAUAGGGACCAGAUUUGAACUGUAGAAACUGAUGGAAUUUUCAAUA